GCGUUUCAGACUUUACUUUUUACAAACAUGAUGGUUUUGAGAGUGCUGGUUUAGAUAUUUUGUGCAAUGUCUUCACUGAAACUUGUUCAGUGUUCUGUGAUCACGUGGGGCUUUGGACUUUGGAGGAAGGACCACAGAGGGGGACAAUACCAUUCUGUCAUCAUACACAUCAGCAUGACUUAACCCUUGUUGGAAGACUUUUGACAGUCUGCCUAGCUGAACAGUGUGUCAGUUUUCCGUACUCUGAGCUUAAUCUUCCUCCCAUGCUGUGUCCUUUCAAGGAUGUUCCUUCGUAAAUCCCACACUUAAGAGGUAGGAAAUCACCCUCUACCUCGAGAGAGGAGGAUCCAUGUAUCUUCUGUUCAGAACUCUGCAGAUAGUUAUGUCUUCCCUGUUUACUUGCUUGCUCAUUUACUUAAUAUUAGUGUAUACUCAUGGACUUAGUCUAAUGCUACAGUAUUUUAUUGCUCAAAUUUCUGUAGCUUUUGGCGAGACUAUUCCUGAUUGCGGUGAUAUAACCCUAGCAUUGUGAGCUUUGUGUUUUAUAUGAGCUACUUCCUUAUUUUCUCCUAUUACAAGCUGUUCCAGGGUUGUCUUGAAUAUUUCCCUUGUUCCUUUUAUUGGAGAAUAGUAUCAGAAGCCAAUAUGUGGGUCACUGGACAGAUGCACACAUAUAAACAAACUAGUCUUUGUGUGGUACAUUUAUGAACAUAUUAGGAUGCUACAGUACUAAUGCAUUAGUACACUCUUAGUUAUUGUCCCUUCAUCUCUUUUUUUUUUUUUUCCCUUUUUUUUUUUUUUUCUUUUUUUUCUUUUUUUUUCCCUUCAUCUCUUAAUGUGGGAUCUGUAGACAUUUGUCAUAUAAUCAGACUCCCUGCCUGAGUUGUCUUUUUUCAGUAGUGGGACUCACAUGCCCCUGCCUCGUGGUAGGCAGUUAAGCUGUAGCUUGGUGCCACCAUUAGGUUUAUUUGUCACAUUCCAGUCUAACCUGGACUAUUGUGCCUCCAAAAUUUUGGAAUCCAAAUACGUUAACAUUCAUUCCUUUUGCUAUAAAGUUCUGUAAAGUCAGAAACUAUGUUAUAUAUACAUCCAUAAUAGUUUUACUGUUC
rnacentral:lncRNA from 1 species